AAUCUGCAGUCAUGUAAGAUAAAUCAUUACGACUUAAUCGACAUGUACAAAAUGUGUUACUUCCCUUUAAUCGUUACUGACAAUAAGUAUACAUGUCCGUAUGUCAACGAAAUUUGCAUCUCAUUUGCAUAUGCGUGUGUGAAUGGUUAAAGUAAAAAAAGGAUGGCCUGUAUAUCUACGUUAAUUAAUGAUUCAUACCACUCACGUACAGUAAGUAACAAAUUAGUGUAAGAUUUGCAGAAUGAACAACAAGUUCUCAUCUGGAUGAAUGGAUUUUCGCCUUUCAUCAAUGUCGUUAUCAACAGCGAGCGACACCUACUAAGUCGACUGUGAAGCAAGUUCUACAACUCACAUUAAUCACUCUUGUCACCUCGAUGGAAUCCGUCGCCACGAGGGUAUGAGAGAAGAGAAGCCAGUUUCCCUUUUAAUGCUGAGCGCCAAGCAAGGGAGCUACUGGUACCAUUUUCACGUCUUUGGUAUGAUGCGGCCGGGGGACCUAGUGGUAGAGUGUCUGCUUCGAGUACGAGUUUAAACCUUAACCUUGUCAACAGAUGAUCAAGGGAGCAGCCAUUUUGUAUUAUUGUUGUUGUUACACAAACAGUUUUUAAAGGCUAUCUAAGUAAAUGGAAGCUUGCAGUUAAUUGCUAAA